AUGGCGACCGGCGCACGGGUGAGUAACGCGUAUCCAACCCGCCCUUUACUAUGGGACAGCCCGUCGAAAGGCGGAUUAAUACCGUAUGUUGUCAUGUUGAUGCAUAUUUUCAUGACCAAAGGCUUCGGCCGGUAAAGGAUGGGGAUGCGUCUGAUUAGCUUGCCGGCGGGGUAACGGCCCACCGGGGCGACGAUCAGUAGGGGUUCUGAGAGGAAGGUCCCCCACAUUGGAACUGAGACACGGUCCAAACUCCUACGGAAGGCAGCAG
rnacentral:rRNA from 1 species